UAAUGUUAAUAAAAAUCCAUUAAAUAUGUCGAGAUAUGUCAGGCGAACUCCAGGCGAAGCGAAAAUUCUAAUACACGGACGCGAAAAGAUUCGAUUUCGGCUGCGCGGACCCGAGGCGAAGACGCAUCCGUAGAAUGUAAUAAAAACUGAGCGAAGAACUUUCGCGCCUGUGUCGCGCUACAUAGCUACAGAGAAAUCAUCGCCGGGAGACCGGAGAACGGAGGAGAACGAGAUUUGGAAGUCGGGAUUUCUGGCUAAUAAACAUCGCCACGGUCACAUAACUACAUCGUUAGCUUGUUAGCUGUUGGUGGCUAAUGUGAACUUGAGAACAGUUCUACAGACGAACGCGAAGCUAAAAACCCGCUUCGCCUUCAGUGUGUAGACGAAGACUUGCUGCUAAAGGCCAUAAAUCACCGCAGAUGACCCAGACGUCUAAUAAACAGCUUAAAUCUCUUUGACAGCCUCACAACACGCAGCUAAUAUCUGCCUUUGUCUCCACGUCUGUACCUUUCUGUUCACCGAGGACGCAGAUUAACUCGGCGCCGCAUCCAUCAUCCACCCGUCGGUCUGUCUUCAGCCUGAUGAGUCGGUGUUGGACUGGAAACUGGAAACACACCAGCGACGAUCUGAGUCAAACCAGUUCAGUCCCAGUCAGAGAACAAGGAGCUUCACCCAUCCCGAGAGGACAUGUUGAUUAGAAGAAAAUAAAAAAAUAAAAGAAUAAAAAGCUGGUGGCACGAUUCAGAAAUCCUCCGGAUGAGUCGGUGUUUUUCUGCUUUCAAUCCUCAGCCUCGGUCACAUUUAGGGAAUAAAAACAACAUGUCGGAGCUUUUCUGUAUUAAAACCAGAUGAUUCCUGUCUGCAGCUUCUGGUUUCUGUGAAUCCGGGAUGGUGAUGAACUACAUUACACGAUGGCUGGUGCGGAAGAUCUGCUCCUCUCCAGAGUCUGACCCAUUUUAGUCUUUGUCCUCUGGAAGGGGGGAGGGAUGGAGCCUGCAUCCCAAAAUCAGUCUACAACACUAAUUAUUACCACUGAUCAUCGGCUGUAAAAUAAAUCCACAUGCACAUUAAAUAUGUGAGAAAAUGCUCCUUCUUUCUCCUUUAAACCGCUGGACUUUAAAUAAAAACCCCAGUUUAUAUAAUGAGAUUAAAGGCAGCAGCUUCAUCAAUAAUUAAAGAUGUUGAACAUGAACAAUACAUGUGAAAGAACUGGCUCAGAUUUACAGAAAUGUUCAUAAAGAGAUCAAUAGUUCACUUUAUUAACCCACUGCAGAUAUGACACAUAUAGAAGCUCAGUGUCGGCCAAGAAUAUUACAUUAUUCCACACAGAGUCAAAAUCAUAAAAUGCUAGUUCAAAUUUUUGUCUGCUUCAAAUGUAUGGAAGCCUUUUUCAACCAGGAAAAAGAAACUAAAUUAAAUCACAUAUAUGCAAAAAAUAAUAAUGGUAAACCAAAAUUAUGAGAUACUAAGUAAAGAUUAUACAAAAUUAUGGAAACGUUUUGAUGCACUAGAUGAAAAUUUACAAAAUCUAAAGUUGUCAAAACUAAAUUUAACAGAAGAUUAUGAGUUUGAAAAUCAAAAUGAUGACGUAUGUCAAAGUUUCUACUUAACGUUAAUAUUUCAACUUAGUCUCUCUUAAGUUUGAUUUGUAAGUUCUUUAUUAUCAUUUUUCUUUUCCUGGUAGAAAUGAGUUUCCAUGAUAUGAAACAAAUUAAUGUUCGAAUCAAACCAAAUGUAAAUUAAUACAGGGUGUUGUUUCAAUAUUCUAUUAAAAAAAUUUGAAGGAAAUUUUGGAGCCUUUACAAAAAAAUGAAACUAUUUUAAUGUGACCCUAUGACAAAAAAAAGAGUUAUAGAAUAACAGCAGAGUUAAUAUUUAAGUCAAAUUAUAAACUUUUAAAAAGGUGCUAUUUUUGUGUCUUAAAAUUUAAAACUCAAAAUGAAACAGACCAGCAGGAAGUUAAAUGUUGCAAAUCAUCAACUGUUUAAUUUUAAAAAGUGGAUGAAUGUGGAACAACUACGCUCGCUCUAAAUAACUUUCAUUCAUGUGAAGGACCUGCAGGUCUCAUGACAUAAACAACAACUUUAAAAAUACAGUCAAGACAAAA